UACAGAGGGGGCAAGCGUUGUUCGGAAUUACUGGGCGUAAAGGGCGCGUAGGCGGCCGCCUAAGUCAGACGUGAAAUCCCUCGGCUCAACCGGGGAACUGCGUCUGAUACUGGGUGGCUUGAAUCCGGGAGAGGGAUGCGGAAUUCCAGGUGUAGCGGUGAAAUGCGUAGAUAUCUGGAGGAACACCGAUGGCGAAGGCAGGUCUCUGGGCCACUACUGACGCUGAGAAGCGAAAGCAUGGGGAGCAAACAGG
rnacentral:rRNA from 1 species